CUUAGUUUGAUCCUGGCUCNGACCGACCGCUGGCGGCGUGCUUAAUACAUGCAAGUCAACUGAAUUGAGGUAGUAAUAUCUCAAGUAGGGUGGCGCACGGGUGAGUAACACCGUAGGUAAUCUGCCUUUAGGACUGACAUAAUCCCAGCGAAAGCGGGACUAAUAUCAGAUGAUGCAGCGGCUCGACAUCGAGACAGUUGUUAAACCUUCGGGGCGUAAAGAUGAGCAUGCGUCUGAUUAGGUAGUUGGCGGAGUAAAAGCCCACCAAGCCUGCGAUCAGUAGCUGGUCUGAGAGGAAGAUCAGCCACACUGGAACUGAGACACGGUCCAGACUCCUACGGGAGGCAGCAGUAAGGAAUAUUGCUCAAUGGCCGAAAGGCUGAAGCAGCAACGCCGCGUGGAGGAUGAAAUACUUUUGUAUGUAAACUCCUGUAAGAGGGGAAAAACAUCUCAUUAUUUGGGAUUGAUUGUACCCUCAGAGUAAGCACCGGCUAACUACGUGCCAGCAGCCGCGGUAAUACGUAGGGUGCUAGAGUUGUCCGGAUUUACUGGGUGUAAAGGGUGCUCAGGUGGAUUUGUAAGUCAGAGGUGAAAUCCCAAAGCUUAACUUUGGUGCUGCCUUUGAUACUGCAAGUCUAGAGUUUGAGAGAGGGCAAUGGAAUAUCUGGUGUAGCAGUGAAAUGCGUAGAUAUCAGAUAGAACACCAAUGGCGAAGGCAGUUGCCUGGCUCAAAACUGACGCUAAAGCACGAAAGUGUGGGGAGCAAACAGGAUUAGAUACCCUGGUAGUC
rnacentral:rRNA from 1 species